CCCUAGUAGUGGCGAGCGAACGGGGAUCAGCCCAACCAAAUCUGUUUACAGAUUCGGGGUUGUAGGACCGGCAAUACGGAAGUUACAAAAUAAUCAGUUAGCGGAAAGGUGUGGGACAGCCUGCCAAAGAGGGUAAUAGCCCCGUAUGCGAAAAUUGAUUAUCUUCCGCCGUGUUCCUGAGUACUGCCGGGCACGCUAAUCCGGCAGGAAUCUAGGGAGUCCACUCUCUAAGGCUAAAUACGCUUGACGACCGAUAGUGAACAAGUACCGUGAGGGAAAGGUGAAAAGUCCCCCUGUUAGGGGAGUGAAAUAGAACCUGAAAACCAUAAGCUUACAAGCAGUUGAAGGGCUACGGCAAGUUGAGCCCCCUAGAAAUAGGGACGUUCCUUGUCAUGCCUAACAGCGUGCCUCUUGGAGAAUGAGCCUGCGAGUUAAUUUCAGUGGCGAGGUUAAGGGAGUAACACCCGAAGCCGUAGCGAAAGCGAGUCUUAAUAGGGCGUAUAGUCGCUGGAAUUAGGCCCGAAACCGAGU
rnacentral:rRNA from 1 species